rnacentral:rRNA from 1 species
AGAGUUUGAUCCUGGCUCAGGAUGAACGCUAGCGGGAGGCCUAACACAUGCAAGUCGAACGGGAUUGGGAGCUUGCUCCCAUGAGAGUGGCGCACGGGUGAGUAACGCGUAUGCAACCUACCUAUAACUGAGGGAUAGCCCAUAGAAAUGUGGAUUAAUACCUCAUAGUUCUUUUGGUCCGCAUGGACUGAAAGAUAAAGCUCCGGCGGUUAUAGAUGGGCAUGCGUGACAUUAGUUUGUUGGUGAGGUAACGGCUCACCAAGACUACGAUGUCUAGGGGUUCUGAGAGGAUGAUCCCCCACACUGGUACUGAGACACGGACCAGACUCCUACGGGAGGCAGCAGUGAGGAAUAUUGGUCAAUGGGCGCAAGCCUGAACCAGCCAUCCCGCGUGCAGGAUGAAGGCCCUAUGGGUCGUAAACUGCUUUUAUACACCAAGAAAAACACCCACGUGUGGGUGCCCGACGGUAGUGUAUGAAUAAGCAUCGGCUAACUCCGUGCCAGCAGCCGCGGUAAUACGGAGGAUGCAAGCGUUAUCCGGAUUCAUUGGGUUUAAAGGGUGCGUAGGCGGCUUUUUAAGUCAGUGGUGAAAUCUUGCCGCUUAACGGUAAAAUUGCCAUUGAUACUGAAAAGCUUGAGUACAAUUGAGGUAAGCGGAAUGUGUAGUGUAGCGGUGAAAUGCUUAGAUAUUACACAGAACACCGAUUGCGAAGGCAGCUUACUAAACUGUUACUGACGCUGAUGCACGAAAGCGUGGGGAGCGAACAGGAUUAGAUACCCUGGUAGUCCACGCCGUAAACGAUGAUCACUCGCUGUAUGCGAUACACAGUAUGCGGCCAAGCGAAAGCAUUAAGUGAUCCACCUGGGGAGUACGAUCGCAAGGUUGAAACUCAAAGGAAUUGACGG